rnacentral:lncRNA from 1 species
AGGCCUGAAAGGACUCGCUGAGCAUGACAAUCAAGUGGAAGAGGGUCUUGCAAUUGCACUUGUCCCUGAGGGGGGCCCUUGUCCUUGCCACCUUGGUUCUUGCUCAGGCUGCUGGGGCUGAGGCCUGAGGUCUGGGAUGGGGAGAGAGCCUUCAGUAUGUGGGCCGCCCUCCUGUCAGAACAGUGUUUGUCGUCUCCUGCUAUCUUACGAGCAAACAGCCAUGUUGUAAAUGGCCUCUGAGGAGGACUGGCCUCUAGGAGUUGAGGACCUCAAGCCUACAUCUGCAAGGAAUUGAACGAUGCCAAGAACCCGAACAAACUCUGAAGAUGAGAAUGCGGCCCUGUGCCAAGACUGGCUGCCUUCCCCUGUUUCUGUACCACACUGGUUCCUGAAGCUAUUUGAGUUUGAGACUGCUGGGGUAACCUGACCCACUUCAAGGAUCUGAAAGUAUUUUACAGUUGGUUGAAUCCAUGGAUGUGGAACCCAUGGAUGUGAAGGACUGACUGUACUUUGCACUAGUGGUUCUCAAAGUGUGGGCCCUGGACCAGUGGCAGCAGCAUCACCUGGGAACUUGUGAGAAAUGCACUUUUCAGCUCCUGUUUCAGAUGGACCUAUCAGAAUCUCUGCAGGGAGGCUGUGAGGAUCUAGAGGAUACAGCUACGGAGAACAUGCUGGGUUCCUUGAGCUGCUAAGCACUGAAGUCCCACCAAUGGUGACGAAGGUCUAAGGAGAACAUUGCAAUUGCACAAAAUGAUCCUUGGAAAUUCUUUAGAAGGGCACCAUCUUGGAGACCCAGAAUCAAUAAAACCAGCAUGGCUGGGAGUUUUCUCCAGCAUUUGAAUAAAUUGUUGUUUCUUUGGUUGAACCAUGAUGAGAUAAUUGGCUUAAACCAGGAGUCAUGCAUGGUAUCUGGAAACUUCCUCACUUGAAUCACCAGCAUCAUACUCAGCAUGCAUAAUCCUCUCAUCAUGAGAGGCACAGGGGAAAUGAGCCAGCCUGUCUGGAAAGGAAGCAAAUGCAUGCUUUCCAUCUCCCACUCAGUACUGGACAUGAAGCUAUGUCAUCACCACUUAAUGCCAGCACCACUUAAAUGAUGUUUCUCUCUCUCUGCCCUGUACUUGCUGGAGGCACAUGCCCAUAUCACGUAGGGUGUCAGGGCAGAGAGCUCUUAGGAAGAGCUGAGCUGUGGGGACUUCCUCCCACGCAGAAGAGGGAGGCCUCUGCAGAAUUCUCUGCCAUGUGCUUCUAGGCUUCCUCAACUCAGAAAUUUUAUUAUAGAGUUUUAGAAUGUGAAGAGCUCUUGGAAAUCAUGAAAGAUGAAGAAUCAAGAUGGAAGUUUGAUGGCUUGUCCCAGGCCCCAGAGUGGACCCUUUGCUUUUUGGAAUCCAACAGCAAGGACUCAUGGGAAUAUCGUGGGAUUUGACUUGGAGAGACAGGGCUCAAACCUCAUCUUUGUCACUUAGUGAUUGUGUAAUUCUCUAAAAGUCUAUUUGUAGAAAAGGGAUAAGGGAGCUUUCUUUCCUGGAUUUCAAGAUGAUUAAAAGAGAUGUAUGUAUAAAGGGAUGCUCAGUUGUCUGAGCUGAGAUGACUGCAAAGUCACUGCACUCCUCUUACAAUGCCUGACAGGUGCUUCCAUCUUUGGGAGGUGUGGAGCCCUUGACAGGCACGUCAGCAGGGGGCAUUUGGGAGGGCAGCCUGCGAGGGUGAGGGGAUGCCAGUGGGCCAUACUGCAGAGGCAGAAACUUGGGGGAGGGGUCACAGGCGGUCAACUGAAGAAGGGGCUUGUGCCUGCAGAUGCUCCAAGAGGGGAGUCUAAGAGGAAUCCAGAAAAGUGUCCCCAAGAGAAAGAAUCUGACUUUAAUGUUAGCCGGACCCAGA